rnacentral:rRNA from 1 species
UACCUGCAGCUCGAGUGGUAACCGCUAUCAUUGGGCCUAAAGCGUCCGUAGCCGGUUUAUUAAAUGCUUGGGUAAAUCGUGUAGCUUAACUAUACGAAUUCCGGGUAGACUGAUAGACUUGAGACCGGGAGAAGCUAGAGGUACUCCUGGGGUAGAGGUGAAAUUCUGUAAUCCUGGGGGGACCACCAGUGGCGAAGGCGUCUAGCUAGAACGGGUCUGACGGUGAGGAACGAAGCCCUGGGGCGCAAACCGGAUUAGAUACCCGGGUAGUCCAGGGUGUAAACGCUGCUUGCUUGAUGUUAGUUGGGCUCCGAGCCCAAUUAGUGUCGGAGAGAAGUUGUUAAGCAAGCUGCCUGGGAAGUACGAUCGCAAGAUUGAAACUUAAAGGAAUUGGGCGGGGAGCACAGCAACGGGUGGAGCGUGCGGUUU